UACGUAGGGUGCGAGCGUUGUCCGGAAUUACUGGGCGUAAAGAGCUCGUAGGUGGUUUGUCGCGUUGUUCGUGAAAUCUCACGGCUUAACUGUGAGCGUGCGGGCGAUACGGGCAGACUGGAGUACUGCAGGGGAGACUGGAAUUCCUGGUGUAGCGGUGGAAUGCGCAGAUAUCAGGAGGAACACCGGUGGCGAAGGCGGGUCUCUGGGCAGUAACUGACGUGGAGGAGCGAAAGCGUGGGGAGCGAACAGG
rnacentral:rRNA from 1 species